UUUCUCACGGUGACUGGCUCGGACUCGGUCGGUGAUGCGUAUCAUCAUUCAGUCUCUGAAGGAAAACGCAUGGACAGUAGCAGCUGCAUCAAGAGGACGCGAUUUUUCAACAUUCAUGUCCAGCUUUGCUCAGCGGUGGUUUGUGAGCGUGGAGGGCUAGGUUGUCAGUGAGGGAGUGUCCUUUGUGCUGGGGCUUGCUGUUCUAAUGUCAACUUUCUACAACUUUAACCUGCAAUACCAGGACUAUGCUGCAUGGUCGUUGGAGUUCAUUCAGAGAAUCUGCAUGGGGG